GAGCCAUGAUGAUAGUUGAACUUUAGUGAUGGUUGGUUCCAUCACAAUUGCCUGAUUUCCAAAAGACAACACCGUUAUAUCUAUGUAUUAGCAU
rnacentral:snoRNA from 1 species